rnacentral:rRNA from 1 species
UACGGAGGGGGCUAGCGUUGUUCGGAAUUACUGGGCGUAAAGCGCACGUAGGCGGCUUUGUAAGUUAGAGGUGAAAGCCCGGGGCUCAACUCCGGAAUUGCCUUUAAGACUGCAUCGCUAGAAUUGUGGAGAGGUAAGUGGAAUUCCGAGUGUAGAGGUGAAAUUCGUAGAUAUUCGGAAGAACACCAGUGGCGAAGGCGACUUACUGGACACAUAUUGACGCUGAGGUGCGAAAGCGUGGGGAGCAAACAGGAUUAGAAACCC